UACGAAGGGGGCUAGCGUUGUUCGGAAUUACUGGGCGUAAAGGGCUCGUAGGCGGCCAACUAAGUCAGACGUGAAAUCCCUCGGCUUAACCGGGGAACUGCGUCUGAUACUGGCGGGCUUGAAUUCGGGAGAGGGAUGUGGAAUUCCAGGUGUAGCGGUGAAAUGCGCAGAUAUCAGGAGGAACACCAGAGGCGAAGGCGGCGCACUGGACAGCAACUGACACUCAACUGCGAAAGCGUGGGGAGCAAACAGG
rnacentral:rRNA from 1 species